UACGAAGGGAGCUAGCGUUGUUCGGAAUCACUGGGCGUAAAGCGCACGUAGGCGGAUUUGCCAGUCAGGGGUGAAAUCCCGGGGCUCAACCUCGGAACUGCCUUUGAUACAGCAAGUCUUGAGUUCGAGAGUGGUGGGUGGAAUUCCUAGUGUAGAGGUGAAAUUCGUAGAUAUUGGGAAGAACACCGAUGGCGAAGGCAGCCAUCUGGACCGACACUGACGCUGAGGCGCGAAAGCGUGGGGAGCAAACAGG
rnacentral:rRNA from 1 species